GAUGAAGAACGCAGCGAAAUGCGAUAAGUAAUGUGAAUUGCAGAAUUCCGUGAAUCAUCGAAUCUUUGAACGCACAUUGCGCCCCCUGGCAUUCCGGGGGGCAUGCCUGUCCGAGCGUCAUUUCUGCCCUCCAGCCCGGCUGGGUGUUGGGCGCUGUCCCCCCGGGGACACGCCCCAAAGGCAGUGGCGGCGCCGCGUCGGGUCCUCGAGCGUAUGGGGCUUUGUCACCCGCUCGGGACGGACUCGUCGGCGCUGGUCUUCCUCCAGGCGACCCUUCGGGGCUCGUCUUCCUUCGGUUGACCUCGGAUCAGGUAGGGUUACCCGCUGAACUUAAGCAUAUCAAUAAGCGGA
rnacentral:misc_RNA from 1 species